rnacentral:rRNA from 1 species
UACGUAGGGUGCAAGCGUUAAUCGGAAUUACUGGGCGUAAAGCGUGCGCAGGCGGUUGUGCAAGACCGAUGUGAAAUCCCCGGGCUUAACCUGGGAAUGGCAUUGGAGACUGCAAGGCUAGAAUCUGGCAGAGGGGGGUAGAAUUCCACGUGUAGCAGUGAAAUGCGUAGAGAUGUGGAGGAACACCGAUGGCGAAGGCAGCCCCCUGGGUCAAGAUUGACGCUCAUGCACGAAAGCGUGGGUAGCAAACAGG